rnacentral:tRNA from 1 species
CACUAGGAAGCUAUGCAACAGCACUAGCCUUUUAAGCUAGAAAAAGAGGAUUACUAACCCUCCCUAAUGAC